AACGAACGCUGGCGGCAGGCUUAACACAUGCAAGUCGAGCGCCCCGCAAGGGGAGCGGCAGACGGGUGAGUAACGCGUGGGAAUCUACCCAUCUCUACGGAAUAACGCAUGGAAACGUGUGCUAAUACCGUAUACGUCCUUCGGGAGAAAGAUUUAUCGGAGAUGGAUGAGCCCGCGUUGGAUUAGCUAGUUGGUGGGGUAAAGGCCUACCAAGGCGACGAUCCAUAGCUGGUCCGAGAGGAUGAUCAGCCACACUGGGACUGAGAAACGGCCCAGACUCCUACGGGAGGCAGCAGUGGGGAAUAUUGGACAAUGGGCGCAAGCCUGAUCCAGCCAUGCCGCGUGAGUGAUGAAGGCCCUAGGGUUGUAAAGCUCUUUCACCGGUGAAGAUAAUGACGGUAACCGGAGAAGAAGCCCCGGCUAACUUCGUGCCAGCAGCCGCCGUAAAAC
rnacentral:rRNA from 1 species